UUUCCAAGUGAACAUGUGCAUUGCUGUUGUGUAACGAACAGUGGCGAGAGAUCCUCCUGGCGCCGGCGCUUCCGUGCAUUGCGCGUGCUCGUGUACGUGGGCCUGGCGCUGGGCUUUUUGUACCAGGCUUCGGACGUGGUGGUCAACUACCUGACCUUCCCCACGACCAACGAUGUGCGGGUCGAAGGUCCCGAGCAGCUCAUCAUGCCGGCUGCCUCUGCCUGCAUCAGCAACUGGAUCAGCAAAGAAAAGCUGUGCGCCCGUCAGGUCGAGUUCUGCAACUACACCGAUACCGAAGAAUACAAGCAGCUCCUCUUGCGCUUUCUGGACACAGCCGGCAACUUGGGAGAGCUCGCCAUGGACAGCGAAGUCAUUCUGCAAGUGGUCAUGGAGAACCCCGGCAUGUCCAUCUUUCCCAGCGGUUU